rnacentral:rRNA from 1 species
AUUGAACGCUGGCGGCAGGCCUAACACAUGCCAGUCGAGCGGAUGAAGGGAGCUUGCUCCUGGAUUCAGCGGCGGACGGGUGAGUAAUGCCUAGGAAUCUGCCUGGUAGUGGGGGAUAACGUCCGGAAACGGGCGCUAAUACCGCAUACGUCCUGAGGGAGAAAGUGGGGGAUCUUCGGACCUCACGCUAUCAGAUGAGCCUAGGUCGGAUUAGCUAGUUGGUGGGGUAAAGGCCUACCAAGGCGACGAUCCGUAACUGGUCUGAGAGGAUGAUCAGUCACACUGGAAGUGAGACACGGUCCAGACUCCUACGGGAGGCAGCAGUGGGGAAUAUUGGACAGUGGGCGAAAGCCUGAUCCAGCCAUGCCGCGUGUGUGAAGGAGGUCUUCGGAUUGUAAAGCACUUUAAGUUGGGAGGAAGGGCAGUAAGUUAAUACCUUGCUGUUUUGACGUUACCAACAGAAUAAGCACCGGCUAACUUCGUG